UGAGGAAUAUUGGGCAAUGCCCGCAAGGGUGACCCAGCAACGCCGCGUGGAGGAUGAAUGUCGUAAGAUUGUAAACUCCUGUUAGAGGGGAAGAAUAGUACCGGUUGGACCGGUAUAUGACUGUACCCUCAGAGAAAGCCCCGGCUAACUACGUGCCAGCAGCCGCGGUAAUACGUAGGGGGCAAGCGUUGUCCGGAUUUACUGGGUGUAAAGGGCGCGCAGGCGGGAUAAAAAGUCAGUGGUGAAAUCCUACAGCUUAACUGUAGAACUGCCUUUGAUACUUUUAUUCUUGAGUUCGGGAGAGAGAGACGGAAUUCCAGGUGUAGUGGUGAAAUACGUAGAUAUCUGGAAGAACACCAGUUGCGAAGGCGGUCUCUUGGUCCGACACUGACGCUGAGGCGCGAAAGAGUGGGGAGCAAACA
rnacentral:rRNA from 1 species